rnacentral:rRNA from 1 species
AGGAUGAACGCUGGCGGCGUGCUUAACACAUGCAAGUCGAACGAUGAAGGCUGGAGCUUGCUCUGGCUGGAUUAGUGGCGAACGGGUGAGUAACACGUGAGUAACCUGCCCCAGACUCUGGGAUAAGCGCUGGAAACGGCGUCUAAUACCGGAUACGAGCUUCCACCGCAUGGUGAGGAGCUGGAAAGAAUUUCGGUCUGGGAUGGACUCGCGGCCUAUCAGCUUGUUGGUGAGGUAAUGGCUCA